AGCUUUUAAAAAAGGACGGCGUAAGCUGUCGCUAUGGGAUGGCCCCGCGGUGCAUUAGCUAGUUGGUAAGGUAAAGGAGUUACCAAGGCGGAUGAUGCAUAGCCGAGUUGAGAGACUGAUCGGCCACAUUGGGACUGAGACACGGCCCAAACUCCUACGGGAGGCAGCAGUAGGGAAUCUUCCACAAUGGACGCAAGUCUGAUGGAGCAACGCCGCGUGAGUGAAGAAGGUUUUCGGUAUCGUAAAGCUCUGUUGUUGGUGAAGAAGGAUAGAGGUAGUAACUGGCCUUUAUUUGACGGUAAUCAACCAGAAAGUCACGGGCUAACUACGUGCCAGCAGCCGCGGUAAAAA
rnacentral:rRNA from 1 species